AAUCAACGCUGGCGGCGUGCCUCAGACAUGCAAGUCGAACGCGAAAGUCCCCUUCGGGGGACAAGUAGAGUGGCGCACGGGUGAGUAACACGUAGGUAAUCUACCUUCGGAUGGGGAAUAACGAUCGGAAACGGUUGCUAAUACCGCAUAAUGCAGCGGCACCUAAUGGUGACAGUUGUUAAAGCGGGGGAUCGAAAGACCUCGCGUCUGAAGAGGAGCCUGCGGCGGAUAGCUAGUUGGUAAGGUAACGGCUUACCAAGGCGACGAUCCGUAGCCGGCCUGAGAGGGCGGUCGGCCACACUGACACUGACAUACGGGUCAGACUCCUACGGGAGGCAGCAGUCGGGAAUUUUGGGC
rnacentral:rRNA from 1 species